GGCUAUAGCUCAGUUGGGAGAGCGCCUGCCUUGCACGCAGGAGGUCAUCGGUUCGAUCCCGGUUAGCUCCACA
rnacentral:tRNA from 1 species